AACGAACGCUGGCGGCAUGCCUAACACAUGCAAGUCGAACGAGACCUUCGGGUCUAGUGGCGCACGGGUGCGUAACGCGUGGGAACCUGCCCUUAGGUUCGGAAUAACUCCCCGAAAGGGGUGCUAAUACCGGAUAAUGUCUUCGGACCAAAGAUUUAUCGCCUUUGGAUGGGCCCGCGUUGGAUUAGCUAGUUGGUAGGGUAAAAGCCUACCAAGGCGACGAUCCAUAGCUGGUCUGAGAGGAUGAUCAGCCACACUGGGACUGAGACACGGCCCAGACUCCUACGGGAGGCAGCAGUGGGGAAUAUUGGACAAUGGGCGAAAGCCUGAUCCAGCAAUGCCGCGUGAGUGAUGAAGGCCUUAGGGUGGUAAAGCUCUUUUACCCGGAAUGAUAAUGACAGUACCGGGAGAAUAAGCUCCGGCUAACUCCGU
rnacentral:rRNA from 1 species